CACGUAGGGUGCGAGCGUUGUCCGGAAUUAUUGGGCGUAAAGAGCUCGUAGGCGGUGUGUCGCGUCGGCCGUGAAAACCUGCAGCUUAACUGUGGGCUUGCGGUCGAUACGGGCAUCACUGGAGUUCGGCAGGGGAGACUGGAAUUCCUGGUGUAGCGGUGAAAUGCGCAGAUAUCAGGAGGAACACCGGUGGCGAAGGCGGCACGCUGGGCCCGCCCUGACGCUGAGGCGCGAAAGCCAGGGGAGCGAACGGG
rnacentral:rRNA from 1 species